CCUGCCAGUUGUGUGGAGCCUUGUUCACGGAUUUUCUGAGCCUGAUGGAUUUACAGUGAUAUUUGGUUGCCCGGGGAA
rfam:Loxodonta africana cont3.23648, whole genome shotgun sequence.